GGUUUGUAGCUCAGUGGUAGAGCGCUUGCCUAGCAUGUGUAAGGCACUGGGUUUGAUUCUCAGCACCA
rnacentral:tRNA from 1 species